AUUGAACGCUGGCGGCAGGCCUAACACAUGCAAGUCGAGCGAGCGGCGGACGGGUGAGUAAUGUCUGGGGAACUGCCUGAUGGAGGGGGAUAACUACUGGAAACGGUGGCUAAUACCGCAUACCAUCGGAUGUACCCAUAUGGGAUUAGCUAGUAGGUGGGGUAACGGCUCACCUAGGCGACGAUCCCUAGCUGGUCUGAGAGGAUGAUCAGCCACACGGGAACUGAGACACGGGCCAGACGCCUACGGGAGGCAGCAGUGGGGAAUAUUGCACAAUGGGCGCAAGCCUGAUGCAGCCAUGCCGCGUGUAUGAAGAAGGCCUUAGGGUUGUAAAGUACUUUCAGCGAGGAGGCGUUACCCGCAGAAGAAGCACCGGCUAACUCCGUGCCAGCAGCCGCGGUAAUAC
rnacentral:rRNA from 1 species